AAGCGCUCAUGACCAGACUUGCACCUGUGGUUCAGCCGGCGUUCACGCCGGUGCACUUCCUCAGGUUCAGGCCAGCAUCGGUUUCCGUAGGGCGAUAAAAGCGGUGGGAAUGUGGCUCUUCGGAGUGUUAUAGCCCGUCGCAUAAUAUCCUUACGGGGACCGAGGUUAGCGCUCUGCAAGGAUGCUGGCGUAAUGGUCAUCAGCGA
rnacentral:rRNA from 1 species